rnacentral:rRNA from 1 species
GACGAACGCUGGCGGCGUGCUUAACACAUGCAAGUCGAACGGAAAGGCCCUGCUUUUGUGUGGUUCUCGAGUGGCGAACGGGUGAGUAACACGUGAGUAACCUGCCCUUGACUUUGUGAUAACUUCAGGAAACUGGGGCUAAUACCGGAUAGGAUCUCCUGCUGCAUGGUGGGGGUUGGAGAGUGUCGGCGGUUGGGGAUGGACUCGCGGGUUAUCAGCUUGUUGGUGAGGUAGUGGCUUACCAAGGCUUUGACGGGUAGCCGGCAUGAGAGGGUGACCGGCCACAUUGGGACUGAGAUACGGCCCAGAAUCCUACGGGCGGCAGCAGUGGGGAAUAUUGCACAAUGGGCGGAAGCCUGAUGCAGCAACGCCGCGUGCGGGAUGCCGGCCUUCGGGUUGUAAACCGCUUUCGACUGUGACGAAGCGUGAGUGACGGUAAUGGGUAAAGAAGCACCGGCUAACUACGUG